GAGAGCAAGAGUGUUAUGCUCCCAUUUCUCAGAGCAAGACCCACUCAUUUUGCUACUUUCCAGAAUGCGCUUCUCUCUAAAAAGGAGAAUCCAGGAUCCCUAAACGAGGGAGGAUAUAAAAGACUCGAUCCCGGGGUCUUUUCCUGGCUCAGAAAAACCCGCUGUAAGGGGUACUGGGCGCGCUGGGCUUCCCUCCCCGCGAGGAGCCGGGGCAGCGCGGCGAGCGGCAGAGAAGGAAGGCUCCAAACCCCGGCGAGCCUACGACAAGCUCCUGGCCUCGGAACCUCAGGCCAGAUCAAGUGCUCGGAGGCAGGUCCUCACCGGCAAACCGGAAGAGGGGCGUGAGACAGCUGCCAGAGCACUGGUCUCCGCGUUCAACCGCAGCUCCCCCCUCCCCCCGCGCCCCCACUUGGCUUGAACCUGUCGGAGGACUCGGACCGAGGAGGGGUUUUGUCUCAUUCUCCUACCCAGCCUUCGAUUCCCAAGUCUACGGGGCCCUGAAGGGACCUCAGCCAACCCCUCUCCUUUUUUCUGACUUUUGGGGGAAAGAAGCGUGGACGCCUCGGUCAAGUUCACGGAUCUGGCCGGCGUCUCUUAGGACGAGUGGGGCCACCGCUGUUAUGCGGAUCAGGAGGGUCCUAAACAGUCAGGAUUGGGGGUGGGGGUGCGGGGACGAAGCUUCCAGAAAGCCUUUUGGUCUUUAGUCUGCUGUUCGGUUCUCACAUUCCCGUCUGCCCAUCCCCACAGCUCUGUAGAGGAAAAAUAACUCCAUCUGAAAGGAAGCCGUUUAUUUGGAAAAAUAAUUGCGAAGGCCUCAUGGAGUGUGCUCAGAAUGGUCUUAAGCCUUUGGCACUUCGGUAAUUUUUCGUUAGUUCUGUUCCGGCAUUUAUGAAAGUUAAGGGUUUACAGUGUUUAUUUGGUACAACCUUUUCUUCGGAAUCUGAUUUAAAGAAGCCACAUCUACACUGCGCCCCAAAAGCUUCAGAUUAAACACGUUGAAAUAAUUACCCCCAACAUUCCAGCCCUUAAAAAAAAAAAAAGAAAAAAGAAAAAAAUCUCGAAGUGGGAAAUAAAAAAACCUUAUUCAGGUGCAGAAAAUAGAACAUAGGGUUUUAAAUACACACAAACUGUAAAAACUCUUAAUAAACAACCUUCUGAAUUUUUCCUCA